rnacentral:rRNA from 1 species
AGAAUGAACGCUAGCGAUAUGCUUAACACAUGCAAGUUGAACGUUGUUUUCGAAUCAGAAUGAGAACAAAGUAGCGAACGGGUGCGUAACACGUGGGAAUCUGCCGAACAGUUUGGGCCAAAUCCCGAAUGAAUAAAAGCUAAAAAGCGCUGUUUGAUGAGCCCACGUAGUAUUAGGUAGUUGGUUAGGUAAAAGCUGACCAAGCCUACGAUGCUUAGCUGGUCUUUUCGGAUGAUCAGCCACACUGGGACUGAGACACGGCCCAGACUCCUACGGGAGGCAGCAGUGGGGAAUCUUGGACAAUGGGCGAAAGCCUGAUCCGGCAAUAUGGCGUGAGUGAAGAAGGGCAACGCAGCUUGUAAAGCUCUUUCAUCGAGUGUGCGAUUGUGACAAGACUCGAAUAAGAAGCCCCGGCUAACCUCCGUCGCCAGCAGCCGC